rnacentral:rRNA from 1 species
GGAAGUAAAAGUCGUAACAAGGUCUCCGUUGGUGAACCAGCGGAGGGAUCAUUACCGAGUUUUCAACUCCCUAACCCUUAUGUGAACCUACCUAUUGUUGCUUCGGCGGACUCGCCCCAGCCGGACGCGGACUGGACCAGCGGCCGCCGGGGACCCUCAAACUCUUGUAUUAUCAGCAUCUUCUGAAUACGCCGCAAGGCAAAACAAAUAAAUCAAAACUUUCAACAACGGAUCUCUUGGCUCUGGCAUCGAUGAAGAACGCAGCGAAAUGCGAUAAGUAAUGUGAAUUGCAGAAUCCAGUGAAUCAUCGAAUCUUUGAACGCACAUUGCGCCCRCCAGCAUUCUGGCGGGCAUGCCUGUUCGAGCGUCAUUUCAACCCUCGACCUCCCUUUGGGGAAGUCGGCGUUGGGGACCGGCAGCACACCGCCGGCCCUGAAAUGGAGUGGCGGCCCGUCCGCGGCGACCUCUGCGUAGUAAUCCAACUCGCACCGGAACCCCGACGCGGCCACGCCGUAAAACACCCAACUUCUGAACGUUGACCUCGAAUCAGGUAGGACUACCCGCUGAACUUAAGCAUAUCAAUAAGCGGAGGAA